GUGAGAGUAACUUUUAUCUACAUUACUACGUGAGUCACAAGGACAAAUUCGACCAUGAGUUCCUGGAGAUUGAAUUCCAACCAGACAAGAAACUGAGAUGUGCCAACAACAGUAAUUACAAGGAUAAUGUCAUCAUCAGAAAAGAGGCUUACAUAUAUAAAAAUAUGAUGGAGGAACUGAAGAGAAUAAUUAAUGGCAGUGAAAUUACCAAAUAGUAUGACGCUCUGUGGCCUCCGCCUCACCAGGAGGAGCUUGAAAUCGUCAUUGGACAUGAACACGUUUCUUUUAUAACAUCUAAAAUUGGUUCCCUUAUUGAUGUUAAGCAAUCCAAGGAUCCAGAAGGCUUAAGAAUAUUUUGUUAUCUGGUUCAUGACCAGGAAGUAUCUGGUCUUCAUUGUUACUGAAUUACACUUCAAGAUUAAGCCAAUCUAG
rnacentral:lncRNA from 1 species